rnacentral:tRNA from 9 species
UGCGGGGUGGAGCAGUCUGGUAGCUCGUCGGGCUCAUAACCCGAAGGUCGUUGGUUCGAAUCCAGCCCCCGCGACCA